CUCCCGUCCCCCCCCCACCCCGCGCUGCGCUCCUCGGCACGAGUCGCCCCCUCCCCGCCCCGCGCUGCGCUCCUCGGUCGGGAGGGACCCGGGACCCGCGGCAGCUCUCAGCCCACCUGCGGUCCUUCAGGGCCCUGCUCCGGCGCCAGUCCUGCGCUCGCAGAGCUGGCUGGGUUUAGGGAAACCUUCCGGAAGGAGCAAUGCUGGAGCGGCGGUUUUCCCAGCCCGGGAGGCCCGCAGUCGGGGGCAACGGGGAGCUGAGAGGUGGGGUUUGUGACACAGGUGUAGUUCUGCCAUCUUUGAGGGAGAAAGACGGGAGACAAGAGAGGUCUGUGGAGGCAGAGCUGCGGAAAUCCUGCCAGAAAACGCUGCUGAGCUCCAGAUACAGCAGGAGAGAUGGAGAGAUGUCCCUCAGCCUCACCCGACUGCGGUCACAGAGGAUGACCUUGUGCGCUGGAAGUUCUUCCUGCAGUCUGAUCCCGCACCCGCUUCAGGCCAGUUGGGUGGAUUCCAGUCUGUGCUUGGGGUGGAGUGUCUGACCCCCUGCAGAAGUGGAGGCCCCCUCAGGACACCACGGAAAACCUGGACACAGCGACCCAGGCUCUGAGCAGCCUGGAGGUGUCUGUGGGGAGACAGGGAAAUGAGGUGGGGACAGUCUAGAGAGCGUGAGCAAGAAACGCGGGACGGCGCAGCGGGGUGAAGAUCUGAAGUGCCGUGGGCUGGCAGCAGCUGGAUUUGCCUCUGCUCUUAGUGGACCAGGAAGGACGACGGGUCUCUCUCUCAGGACCUGGUGCAGCGGCCUGCGUUCUGGGAUGACCCUUUGCUUCUCAAGUCCCACCUGGGCCAGAAGAUGAGAGCAUAUGGCCUCACGGGUCCUUCCAGACCAUCCGUUCCACAUUCCAAUUUCUAAUUUAAGUUUGUGCUGAGUACUGAACAGUGAGCUGAGGCAGAGCUAGAAGGAAGGAAACAUGACUGUGAACGUUCCGGAUGAGUUACUCUGUGCUCUGCUUUAGUGUCAGGUCAUUCAUUCAUGUUUUCCCAUUUUUGCCUUCGAGGACCUAACUACCUAAUCUAAUACUUAACAUUCAAGUAUGUAGCAGUCACAUUUCCAGAAGGCUUUUCACUUCAUAAUCUGCUUUCACAUGGAGCUUUCCUUUGAUCCACAGAAAACUCUGGCAAAGAUGUUGGGUGGGCUUGCAGUGUCCUCACUGUCUACCUGGGGACUCCCUCUCUAGUUAGUAGGGGACUGAGAGAGCAGAGCUGGGCCUCGAAGACGGUAGUUCUCAUUCCAUGACCGGCGCCGGGUCCCCAGGUGGAGGAGACCAAGCAGCCCACCCACUCCAGGAAUACAAGGCUGGACGGAGAAGGAGCCAAGCGCCACACUGUGUGGGGGGGAGGCAUGAACACCCCUUGAGCCAUGGGGCCACCACUCUCUGUGUGCCCCCCAGGCUGCCACUGCCCCACGCCGGCCUGCUCUGGGGCUCUGUUUCUGUGUUCUGGGGCCUCUCCCUAAGUGGUCAGUGGGAUGAGGGGGUGCACAGAAGAUGUUUCUGGUCCCGAGCCCACGGGACAGACAGACCCACAGCUGAGUUUCUUCUACUGUGAAGACCUUGAUCCUGUUCACCUUCAUUUGUGCUGUCGCCGUCUCCUUUGGCUGCAAAACCUGGAUCCAGGGGCACCUGGGUGGCUCAGUGAGUUGAGCAGUGGACAUUCAGCCCAGGUCGUGAUCUCAGGGUCCCGGGAUCGAGUCCUGCAUCAGGCUCCCUGCUCAGCGAGGAGUCUGCUUGAGA